rnacentral:tRNA from 1 species
GGAGACAUGGCUUAAAAGGCAAAGUACUUGCCUAGCAAGCAAGGGCAAGACCUUGAGUUCAAACCCCAGUGACACCA